CCAUCCAUCAAACAAAGAGGGACUAUAAAAGCUGUUGGCACCAGCUGUCAUCUUCGUUCUUUCAAACUGAACAGUCUAGCAAGCAAACCAAAAUGAGGGCUUCUCUGAUCAUCUUCUCUCUGCUGGCUGCGGUCUGCAUGGCGCAGCAUCCCUGCGUGCCGAGCCCACCCCAAAAUCUCCGAAUCGCCAAGCUGGGGUCCAACUCCCUCGGCAUUGAAUUCGAAGACCCAGAUGACCUGGAAAGAUGCCCAAUCGCCAGCUACCAUCACGAAAUUGAGAAGGUUCCCGUCGCCACUGAAAUUGUGGCUUACAACGGUGUACCGGACAAGACCCAUUACCACGAAUUCCUCCUCCUCCACUCCGACACUGUCUACAAGAUCUCAGUCACCUCCAUUUCCACAUUCGAUAUUUUCUCCCAUCCGGCGACCGUUGAGGGUGAGACGCUAAAAUAGUAGAAGCAUUUCGAAUUCUUCGAAAACUUUAGCGGAAAUGUGUAUGUUGAUGUGUGAGGUCAAAAGUUAGCUAAAAAUAAAGAUUAAAUGUGA